CCUACGGGUGGCAGCAGUGGGGAAUAUUGCACAAUGGGGGAAACCCUGAUGCAGCAACGCCGCGUGAGUGAGGAAGUAUUUCGGUAUGUAAAGCUCUAUCAGCAGGGAAUAGCAAAGCAGGUACCUGCAAAAGAAGCCCCGGCUCACUACGUGCCAGCAGCAGCGGUAAUACGCAGGGGGCAAGCGUGAUCCGGAUUUACUGGGUGUAAAGGGCGCGUAGGCGGAAAGGCAAGUCAGAAGGGAACGCCCAAGGCUCAACCAUGGGACUGCUUUUGAAACUGUCAAACUAGAGUACGGGAGAGGGAAGAGGAAGGCGUGGUGUAGCGGUGAAAUGCGUAGAUAUUAGGAGGAACACCAGUGGCGAAGGCGUCGUACUGGACCGAAACUGACGUGGAGGCUCGAAAGCGUGGGGAGCAAACAGGAUUAGAUACCCCUGUAGUC
rnacentral:rRNA from 1 species